AGUGAACGCUGGCGGCAGGCCUAACACAUGCAAGUCGAACGGCAGCACAGCAGUAGCAAUACUGUGGGUGGCGAGUGGCGGACGGGUGAGGAAUACAUCGGAAUCUACCUUGUCGUGGGGGAUAACGUAGGGAAACUUACGCUAAUACCGCAUACGACCUACGGGUGAAAGCGGAGGACCGCAAGGCUUCGCGCGAUAAGAUGAGCCGAUGUCGGAUUAGCUAGUUGGCGGGGUAAUGGCCCACCAAGGCGACGAUCCGUAGCUGGUCUGAGAGGAUGAUCAGCCACACUGGAAUUGAGACACGGUCCAGACUCCUACGGGAGGCAGCAGUGGGGAAUAUUGGACAAUGGGCGCAAGCCUGAUCCAGCCAUGCCGCGUGGGUGAAGAAGGCCUUCGGGUUGUAAAGCCCUUUUGUCCGGAAAGAAAAGCAUCGGGCUAAUACCUCGGUGUUCUGACGGUACCGGAAGAAUAAGCACCGGCUAACUUCGUGCCAGCAGCCGCAGUAAAAC
rnacentral:rRNA from 1 species